rnacentral:rRNA from 1 species
GACGAACGCUGGCGGCGUGCUUAACACAUGCAAGUCGAGCGGUAAGGCCCUUUCGGGGGUACGACGAGCGGCGAACGGGUGAGUAACACGUGGGUGACCUGCCCUUAGCUCUGGGAUAAGCCUGGGAAACUGGGUCUAAUACCGGAUAUGACUCCAUAACGCAUGUUGCGGGGUGGAAAGCCUUGUGCGGCUAGGGAUGGGCCCGCGGCCUAUCAGCUUGUUGGUGGGGUGAUGGCCACCAAGGCGACGACGGGUAGCCGGCCUGAGAGGGCGACCGGCCACACUGGGACUGAGACACGGCCCAGACUCCUACGGGAGGCAGCAGUGGGGAAUCUUGCGCAAUGGGCGAAAGCCUGACGCAGCGACGCCGCGUGGGGAUGACGGCC